UUUUAAAGUUUUAGUUAUUUUAAUGUUUACUGCUUUUAUAUUAUUGUGAUUUUGGCCUAUUGCCGUUUUGACUUAUUGCCGUUUUGACUUAUUCCCGAUCUGGUUAAAAAGAGUUGCCAUUUUGGUUUUUUGCCGUUUUGGUCAUUGCCAUUUUGACUUAUUGCCGUUUUGGUUUUUUGCCGUUGUCCAGAAACCUGACCAACGACAGCGUAGCAGAACCAAUUUACACGGGCCUAGAAAAUUGCAUCUAGAAAGAGUGUCUGUAUGAAGUCUAGAGGGGGCCUACACUAUCACUGCCCUAGGCCCUUGGUUGAUUGGAUUUCUCACUGUACACCACCCUAAAAAAGUGGUGCAAGAGGCUGGUGUAGGCCAGUGGUGUCCCUCUAUAUAGCCCCUUUUGUCUUCUCUAACUGUAAUUUAAAAUUUAACAACUUUUCUGAACCAUUUUAAUGGAAUAAAUAUUAUUUGUAUUUUGAGGAAAUAUGAUGAUUAUAAUUACUAUUUUAUUAUGUAAUAAUUCUAAGUAUUAAAAUAUGGUUUGUCCUACUUGACAGUAAGCGAAUAUCUGAUCAUCCUAACCCAAUCAUCAAUGUUUAACUCAUCAACAUGGGAUAUGAUAAUAAACCAUUGUACCCUGGCAGACCUGCUCCCUAAAAGGAGAGUUGUAAAUGCAGUUGGUUAAAUGAAAGAACACCCAGAAACUUCUACUGAUAUCAACCAUGUUUAUAUUUGGAACAGAAUAUUGAACUCUAAAACCAAAAAGAUGCCUGUGUUAGGUGUUAUGAUCCUACUACAAUAUCACUGACCAUACUUAGGAGUGAUGCCUGUCCUGAAAUUACAGCCCAUGAUAUGAAUGAAAAUAUUUUACAUCAGUUUAGCAAAAAGCAAUACAUUAUUUAGGCAAUGUACACAGCAUGUGUCCUUAUACAAAACACUAGAUCUUGGCUUGUAUCUCUCUCUUUUUCCAGGUGUAUUACAAAUAAAUAAAUGAUGUUCUUAUAGUAAAACAAUGUUAAUAAAGUGUCUUUUCAUUGCUGUCGAUAA